rnacentral:sRNA from 1 species
CCUGUUUCUAAACAGCUACACGGAGAUUGGGACCAGCCACCCUCAUGCCAUGGAGCUUCAGACGCAGCACAAUCACUUUGCCAUGAACUGUAUGAACGUGUAUGUAAAUAUAAACCGCAUCAUGUCGGUGGCCAAUCGUCUGGUGGAGUCUGGCCACUAUGCCUCGCAGCAGAUCAGGCAGAUCGCGAGUCAGCUGGAGCAGGAGUGGAAGGCGUUUGCGGCAGCCCUGGAUGAGCGGAGCACCUUGCUGGACAUGUCCUCCAUUUUCCACCAGAAGGCUGAAAAGUAUAUGAGCAACGUGGAUUCAUGGUGUAAAGCUUGCGGUGAGGUAGACCUUCCCUCAGAGCUGCAGGACCUAGAAGAUGCCAUUCAUCACCACCAGGGAAUAUAUGAACAUAUCACUCUUGCUUAUUCUGAGGUCAGCCAAGAUGGGAAGUCGCUCCUUGACAAGCUCCAGCGGCCCUUGACUCCCGGCAGCUCUGAUUCCCUGACGGCCUCUGCCAACUACUCCAAGGCCGUGCACCAUGUCCUGGAUGUCAUCCACGAGGUGCUGCACCACCAGCGGCAGCUUGAGAACAUCUGGCAACACCGCAAGGUCCGGCUGCAUCAGAGGCUGCAGCUGUGUGUUUUCCAGCAGGACGUUCAGCAGGUGCUAGACUGGAUCGAGAACCACGGAGAAGCAUUUCUGAGCAAACAUACAGGUGUGGGGAAAUCUCUUCAUCGGGCCAGAGCAUUGCAGAAACGUCAUGAAGAUUUUGAAGAAGUGGCACAGAACACAUACACCAAUGCGGAUAAAUUACUGGAAGCAGCAGAACAGCUGGCUCAGACUGGGGAAUGUGACCCCGAAGAGAUUUAUCAGGCUGCCCAUCAGCUGGAAGACCGGAUUCAAGAUUUCGUUCGGCGUGUUGAGCAGCGAAAGAUCCUGCUGGACAUGUCAGUGUCCUUUCACACCCAUGUGAAAGAGCUGUGGACGUGGCUGGAGGAGCUGCAGAAGGAGCUGCUGGACGACGUGUAUGCCGAGUCGGUGGAGGCCGUGCAGGACCUCAUCAAGCGCUUCGGCCAGCAGCAGCAGACCACCCUGCAGGUGACUGUCAACGUGAUCAAGGAAGGGGAGGACCUCAUCCAGCAGCUCAGGGACUCCGCCAUCUCCAGUAACAAGACCCCCCACAACAGCUCCAUCAACCACAUCGAGACGGUGCUGCAGCAGCUGGACGAGGCGCAGUCGCAGAUGGAGGAGCUCUUCCAGGAGCGCAAGAUCAAGCUGGAGCUCUUCCUGCAGCUGCGCAUCUUCGAGAGGGACGCCAUCGACAUUAUCUCAGACCUCGAGUCUUGGAAUGAUGAGCUUUCUCAGCAAAUGAAUGACUUCGACACAGAAGAUCUCACGAUUGCAGAGCAGCGCCUCCAGCACCAUGCAGACAAAGCCUUGACCAUGAACAACUUGACUUUUGACGUCAUCCACCAAGGGCAAGAUCUUCUGCAGUAUGUCAAUGAGGUCCAGGCCUCUGGCGUGGAGCUGCUGUGUGAUAGAGAUGUAGACAUGGCAACUCGGGUCCAGGACCUGCUGGAGUUUCUUCAUGAAAAACAGCAGGAAUUGGAUUUAGCCGCAGAGCAGCAUCGGAAACACCUGGAGCAGUGCGUGCAGCUGCGCCACCUGCAGGCAGAAGUGAAACAGGUGCUGGGUUGGAUCCGCAACGGAGAGUCCAUGUUAAAUGCCGGACUUAUCACAGCCAGCUCAUUACAAGAGGCAGAGCAGCUCCAGCGAGAGCACGAGCAGUUCCAGCAUGCCAUUGAGAAAACACAUCAGAGCGCGCUGCAGGUGCAGCAGAAGGCAGAAGCCAUGCUACAGGCCAACCACUACGACAUGGACAUGAUCCGGGACUGUGCCGAGAAGGUGGCGUCUCACUGGCAGCAGCUCAUGCUCAAGAUGGAAGAUCGCCUCAAGCUCGUCAACGCCUCUGUCGCUUUCUACAAAACCUCAGAGCAGGUCUGCAGCGUCCUCGAGAGCCUGGAACAGGAGUACAAGAGAGAAGAAGACUGGUGUGGCGGGGCAGAUAAGCUGGGCCCAAACUCUGAGACGGACCACGUGACGCCCAUGAUCAGCAAGCACCUGGAGCAGAAGGAGGCAUUCCUGAAGGCUUGCACCCUUGCUCGGAGGAAUGCAGACGUCUUCCUGAAAUACCUGCACAGGAACAGCGUGAACAUGCCAGGAAUGGUGACGCAUAUCAAAGCUCCCGAACAGCAAGUGAAAAAUAUCUUGAAUGAACUCUUCCAACGGGAGAACAGGGUAUUGCAUUACUGGACCAUGAGGAAGAGACGGCUGGACCAGUGUCAGCAGUACGUGGUCUUUGAGAGGAGUGCCAAGCAGGCUUUGGAAUGGAUCCAUGACAACGGCGAGUUCUACCUUUCCACACACACCUCCACGGGCUCCAGUAUACAGCACACCCAGGAGCUCCUGAAAGAGCACGAGGAGUUCCAGAUAACUGCAAAGCAAACCAAAGAGAGAGUGAAGCUAUUGAUACAGCUGGCUGAUGGCUUUUGUGAAAAAGGGCAUGCCCAUGCGGCAGAGAUAAAAAAAUGUGUUACUGCUGUGGAUAAGAGGUACAGAGAUUUCUCUCUGCGGAUGGAGAAGUACAGGACCUCUUUGGAAAAAGCCCUGGGGAUUUCUUCAGAUUCCAACAAAUCGAGUAAAAGUCUCCAGCUAGAUAUCAUUCCAGCCAGUAUCCCUGGCUCAGAGGUGAAACUUCGAGAUGCUGCUCAUGAACUUAAUGAAGAGAAGCGGAAAUCUGCCCGCAGGAAAGAGUUCAUAAUGGCUGAGCUCAUUCAAACUGAAAAGGCUUAUGUAAGAGACCUCCGGGAAUGUAUGGAUACGUACCUGUGGGAAAUGACCAGUGGCGUGGAAGAGAUUCCACCUGGCAUUGUAAACAAAGAACUCAUCAUCUUUGGAAACAUGCAAGAAAUCUACGAAUUUCAUAAUAACAUAUUCCUAAAGGAGCUGGAAAAAUAUGAACAGUUGCCAGAGGAUGUUGGACAUUGUUUUGUUACCUGGGCAGACAAGUUUCAGAUGUAUGUCACAUAUUGCAAAAAUAAGCCUGAUUCUACUCAGCUGAUAUUGGAACAUGCAGGGUCCUAUUUUGACGAGAUACAGCAGCGACAUGGAUUAGCCAAUUCCAUUUCUUCCUACCUUAUUAAACCAGUUCAGCGAAUAACGAAGUAUCAGCUCCUUUUAAAAGAGCUGCUGACGUGCUGUGAGGAAGGAAAGGGAGAGAUUAAAGAUGGCCUGGAGGUGAUGCUCAGCGUGCCGAAGCGAGCCAAUGACGCCAUGCACCUCAGCAUGCUGGAAGGGUUUGAUGAAAACAUUGAGUCUCAGGGAGAACUCAUCCUACAGGAAUCCUUCCAAGUGUGGGACCCAAAAACCUUAAUUCGAAAGGGUCGAGAACGGCAUCUCUUCCUUUUUGAAAUGUCCUUAGUAUUUAGUAAAGAAGUGAAAGAUUCCAGUGGGAGAAGCAAGUACCUUUAUAAAAGCAAAUUGUUUACCUCAGAGUUGGGUGUCACAGAACAUGUUGAAGGAGACCCUUGCAAAUUUGCACUGUGGGUGGGGAGAACACCAACUUCAGAUAAUAAAAUUGUCCUUAAGGCUUCCAGCAUAGAGAACAAGCAGGACUGGAUAAAGCAUAUCCGCGAAGUCAUCCAGGAGCGGACGAUCCACCUGAAGGGAGCCCUGAAGGAGCCCAUUCACAUCCCUAAGACCGCUCCCGCCACAAGACAGAAGGGAAGGAGGGAUGGAGAGGAUCUGGACAGCCAAGGAGACGGCAGCAGCCAGCCUGAUACGAUUUCCAUUGCCUCACGGACGUCUCAGAACACGCUGGACAGCGAUAAGCUCUCUGGUGGCUGUGAGCUGACAGUGGUGAUCCAUGACUUCACCGCUUGCAACAGCAACGAGCUGACCAUCCGACGGGGCCAGACCGUGGAAGUUCUGGAGCGGCCACAUGACAAGCCUGACUGGUGUCUGGUGCGGACCACUGACCGCUCCCCAGCGGCAGAAGGCCUGGUCCCCUGUGGCUCACUGUGCAUCGCCCACUCCAGAAGUAGCAUGGAAAUGGAGGGCAUCUUCAACCACAAAGACUCGCUCUCCGUCUCCAGCAAUGACGCCAGUCCACCCGCAUCCGUGGCUUCCCUCCAGCCCCACAUGAUCGGGGCCCAGAGCUCGCCGGGCCCCAAGCGGCCGGGCAACACCCUGCGCAAGUGGCUCACCAGCCCCGUGCGGCGGCUCAGCAGCGGCAAGGCCGACGGGCACGUGAAGAAGCUGGCGCACAAGCACAAGAAGAGCCGCGAGGUCCGCAAGAGCGCUGACGCCGGCUCGCAGAAGGACUCCGACGACAGUGCGGCCACCCCGCAGGACGAGACGGUCGAGGAGAGAGGCCGGAACGAGGGCCUGAGCAGCGGUACUCUCUCCAAAUCCUCCUCCUCGGGGAUGCAGAGCUGUGGAGAAGAGGAAGGCGAGGAGGGGGCCGACGCCGUGCCCCUGCCGCCACCCAUGGCCAUCCAGCAGCACAGCCUCCUCCAGCCAGACUCACAGGAUGACAAGGCCUCUUCUCGGUUAUUAGUCCGCCCCACCAGCUCCGAAACACCGAGUGCAGCCGAGCUCGUCAGUGCAAUUGAGGAACUCGUGAAAAGCAAGAUGGCACUGGAGGAUCGCCCCAGCUCACUCCUUGUUGACCAGGGAGAUAGUAGCAGCCCUUCCUUCAACCCUUCGGAUAAUUCCCUUCUCUCUUCCUCCUCGCCCAUUGAUGAGAUGGAAGAAAGGAAAUCCAGCUCUUUAAAGAGAAGACACUACGUUUUGCAAGAACUAGUGGAGACAGAGCGUGACUAUGUGCGGGACCUUGGCUAUGUGGUUGAGGGCUACAUGGCACUUAUGAAAGAAGAUGGUGUUCCUGAUGACAUGAAAGGAAAAGACAAAAUUGUGUUCGGCAACAUCCAUCAGAUUUACGACUGGCACAGAGACUUUUUUUUAGGAGAGUUAGAGAAGUGCCUUGAAGAUCCAGAAAAACUAGGAUCCCUUUUUGUUAAACACGAGAGAAGGUUGCACAUGUACAUAGUUUAUUGUCAAAAUAAACCAAAGUCUGAGCACAUUGUCUCAGAAUACAUUGAUACCUUUUUUGAGGACUUAAAGCAGCGUCUUGGCCACAGGUUACAGCUCACAGAUCUGUUGAUCAAACCAGUGCAGAGAAUCAUGAAGUAUCAGCUGUUACUGAAGGACUUCCUCAAGUAUUCCAAAAAGGCCAGCCUGGAUACAUCAGAAUUAGAGAGAGCUGUGGAAGUCAUGUGCAUAGUACCCAGGCGGUGCAACGACAUGAUGAACGUGGGGCGGCUGCAAGGAUUCGACGGGAAAAUCGUUGCCCAGGGUAAACUGCUCUUGCAGGACACAUUCUUGGUCACAGACCAAGAUGCAGGACUUCUGCCUCGCUGCAGAGAGAGGCGCAUCUUCCUCUUUGAGCAGAUCGUCAUAUUCAGCGAGCCACUUGAUAAAAAGAAGGGCUUCUCCAUGCCGGGAUUCCUGUUUAAGAACAGUAUCAAGGUGAGUUGCCUUUGCCUGGAGGAAAAUGUGGAAAAUGAUCCCUGUAAAUUUGCUCUGACAUCGAGGACGGGUGACGUGGUAGAGACCUUCAUUUUGCAUUCAUCUAGUCCAAGUGUCCGGCAAACUUGGAUCCAUGAAAUCAACCAAAUUUUAGAAAACCAGCGCAAUUUUUUAAAUGCCUUGACAUCGCCAAUCGAGUACCAGAGGAACCACAGCGGGGGCGGCGGCGGCAGCGGGGGCAGCGGCGGGGGUGGGGGCAGCGGCGGCGGCGGGGCCCCCAGUGGCGGCAGCGGCCACAGUGGCGGCCCCAGCAGCUGCGGCGGCGCCCCCAGCACGAGCAGGAGCCGGCCCUCCCGGAUCCCCCAGCCUGUCCGACACCACCCCCCCGUGCUGGUCUCCUCUGCAGCCUCGAGCCAGGCAGAGGCAGACAAGAUGUCAGGUACGUCCACCCCCGGGCCCUCCCUGCCUCCCCCUGGCGCGGCCCCCGAGGCCGGCCCCAGCGCGCCCAGCAGGCGGCCCCCCGGCGCGGACGCCGAGGGGUCCGAGCGAGAAGCGGAGCCGAUCCCCAAGAUGAAGGUGCUGGAGAGCCCCAGGAAAUGCGCCGCGAACGCCUCGGGGUCGAGCCCAGACGCCCCCGCCAAGGACGCGCGCGCUAGCCUGGGCACCCUGCCGCUUGGGAAGCCCCGGACCGGGGCCGCGUCGCCGCUGAACUCGCCGCUCUCCAGCGCGGUCCCUUCUCCUCUCGGCAAGGAGCCCUUCCCCCCCAGCAGCCCCCUGCAGAAGGGGGGCUCCUUCUGGAGCUCCAUCCCCGCCUCCCCCGCCAGCCGACCCGGCUCCUUCACCUUCCCGGGGGACAGCGACUCCCUCCAGCGGCAGACACCCCGCCACGCGGCCCCUGGCAAGGAUACUGACCGCAUGAGCACGUGCUCCUCGGCCAGCGAGCAGUCCGUGCAGUCCACCCAGAGCAACGGGGUAAGCGCGUCGGGGGGCCCGCGCCCUCCCGCCCCCCUGCCUCUGUCCCGCCAGCUCUAAACGCCACCGCGGCUGUUCUCACUAACUCAGCUGCCCAGCGCUCUCCGCGGCCCGUUGCGGCCUCUACCUGGGACCAGGCUAACCCUCCUGCGGGCCGGCCCACGGCGCUACUAACUACUCCUUGCUUUGUUCGUGUCUUCUAAUAAGAGCAAGCCGAUCAUUAACCUUCUCAACGCAGCGUCUUUUGGUUUCUUCCAUUUCCAACCAGCAGAAUAUCUUCUUGGAACUUUCUUUUUUAACCUCUGCCUUCCUCACGCACCUAUUUUUUGGAGGGUUCCUUUUCCCUGCUCUCUACCUCCUGUUUAAAUUGAAACCUGUACACUUUAAGCUUUUUGCUCAUCGCUUGGUUUUGCUCUUUUAUGCCUUAAAUUAUCUUUGCGGCAUUUUUGACUCAUCUGCUGGGGAAGACCAUUCCCUCAAGAAAACUUCCAACAGCAACUCAAAGCAAACUAAGAUGAAAAAAUGGGGGGAAAGAAUCUGUCCACUGGGAACGCUUUACGUCACCGUGUUGCUCUGGAAGACAGAGACUGCUCUGGGCACCUGGCGAGGCGGCUCUGCAGUGCAGGCUGGGGCCGGUCCCUGCGGCCUGCUGGGCUCUGGCCUCGUUUGGCCCGUCACUCAUGCUGCCGUCUCAAGCACAAGGGUUGCUGUGGUGGGUUUUCCCUCUGUUUCCUGCUUCCUCACUGUCCUACCCACCUGUUUCCUACAGGGCAGAUGGCCUGGCCCGUAACACUUUCCUGAAGGCAUGCGUGAGUGAAUAGAACUGUUCUAAUGAGUGUAUGUUUGAACGCUUUAUAAAUUUUUAAAUACAUUUCUCUAAAAGGGUCUGUGUCUCUCUUUAUAUU